rnacentral:rRNA from 1 species
UACGUAGGGUGCGAGCGUUGUCCGGAUUUACUGGGCGUAAAGAGCGCGUAGGCGGCUCGUUAAGUGUGAAGUGAAAUCUCCAGGGCUCAACCCGGAAACUGCUUCGCAUACUGGCGAGCUGGAGUGACGAAGAGGUUUGUGGAAUUCCUGGUGUAGCGGUGAAAUGCGUUGAUAUCAGGAGGAACACCGAUGGCGAAGGCAGCAAACUGGUCGUCAACUGACGCUGAGGCGCGAAAGCGUGGGUAGCAAACAGG